rnacentral:rRNA from 1 species
UACGUAGGGUCCGAGCGUUGUCCGGAAUUAUUGGGCGUAAAGGGCUCGUAGGCGGUUUGUCGCGUCGGAAGUGAAAACCCAGGGCUUAACCCUGGGCUGGCUUCCGAUACGGGCAGACUAGAGGUAUGCAGGGGAGAACGGAAUUCCUGGUGUAGCGGUGAAAAUGCGCAGAUAUCAGGAGGAACACCGGUGGCGAAGGCGGUCUCUGGGCAUUACCUGACGCUGAGGAGCGAAAGUGUGGGGAGCGAACAGG